rnacentral:rRNA from 2 species
GAUCGAGUUCUGAUUAUUGAAAGGUGCUUGCAUCUUGAUUUAAUUUGAAACGAGUGGCGGACGGGUGAGUAACACGUGGGUAACCUGCCCUUAAGUGGGGGAUAACAUUUGGAAACAGAUGCUAAUACCGCAUAAAUCCAAGAACCGCAUGGUUCUUGGCUGAAAGAUGGCGUAAGCUAUCGCUUUUGGAUGGACCCGCGGCGUAUUAGCUAGUUGGUGAGGUAACGGCUCACCAAGGCAAUGAUACGUAGCCGAACUGAGAGGUUGAUCGGCCACAUUGGGACUGAGACACGGCCCAAACUCCUACGGGAGGCAGCAGUAGGGAAUCUUCCACAAUGGACGCAAGUCUGAUGGAGCAACGCCGCGUGAGUGAAGAAGGCUUUCGGGUCGUAAAACUCUGUUGUUGGAGAAGAAUGGUCGGCAGAGUAACUGUUGUCGGCGUGACGGUAUCCAACCAGAAAGCCACGGCUAACUACGUGCCAGCAGCCGCGGUAAUACGUAGGUGGCAAGCGUUAUCCGGAUUUAUUGGGCGUAAAGCGAGCGCAGGCGGUUUUUA